AUGCCAUGUUAUCUCCGAGCCUUGCCACCUAAAAGGAAAACCUCAUGGUGCACGGCCAACGGGUUUCGCUGGAAACAGCGGAGCCUCCCUUCAGGAAAGGAGCUUGUCCUCGUUAGAGA
rnacentral:ncRNA from 22 species